GAUGAACGCUGGCGGCGUGCCUAAUACAUGCAAGUCGAGCGAACGGACGAGAAGCUUGCUUCUCUGAUGUUAGCGGCGGACGGGUGAGUAACACGUGGAUAACCUACCUAUAAGACUGGGAUAACUUCGGGAAACCGGAGCUAAUACCGGAUGAUAUUUUGAACCGCAUGGUUCAAAAGUGAAAGACGGUCUUGCUGUCACUUAUAGAUGGAUCCGCGCUGCAUUAGCUAGUUGGUAAGGUAACGGCUUACCAAGGCAACGAUGCAUAGCCGACCUGAGAGGGUGAGCGGCCACACUGGAACUGAGACACGGUCCAGACUCCUACGGGAGGCAGCAGUAGGGAAUCCUCCGCAAUGGGCGAAAGCCUGACGGAGCAACGCCGCGUGAGUGAUGAAGGUCUUCGGAUCGUAAAACUCUGUUAUUAGGGAAGAACAUAUGUGUAAGUAACUGUGCACAUCUUGACGGUACCUAAUCAGAAAGCCACGGCUAACUACGUG
rnacentral:rRNA from 1 species